UACGUAGGGCGCAAGCGUUGUCCGGAAUUAUUGGGCGUAAAGAGCUCGUAGGCGGCUUGUCACGUCGGGUGUGAAAGCCCGGGGCUUAACCCCGGGUCUGCAUUCGAUACGGGCAGGCUAGAGUGUGGUAGGGGAGAUCGGAAUUCCUGGUGUAGCGGUGAAAUGCGCAGAUAUCAGGAGGAACACCGGUGGCGAAGGCGGGUCUCUGGGCAACUACUGACGCUGAGGAGCGAAAGCGUGGGGAGCAAACAGG
rnacentral:rRNA from 1 species